CAGAAAUACGACCUGUGGUUGUUACGCAAGCUGGUUGAAUGGAGUCUCACCGAGCGCACGUGGACGACUCGUGGUGACGAGUGGGGAAAUUGGGCAAAAAGGCUCGGAAGGAACUCAAAUAAUCAGCCAACUUUCCUGACUUUCCCGCAGGACACUUUGAAAUGAUGCAAGAUGGUCGUUUGACAGCAGCCUGGCUCUCUACAUUCAGUUGACCUAUAGGCACAGUGGGCAGACUCCUGGUUGCCCCCUGUGUUCCUCGCUGGCUCGCUGACUCGACCCACGGGAACGUGUGUCCCACCGCGUCACCUCGUUUCAUGAAGAGCUGGGGGGAGUGCGAACUGCACAGCUGAGGCUCAGGGAGCUCCACACCGUUGGACACCGGCCGCUUGUCAAACGACAAUGUGGGAUUUUCCAUUUGUACGUCAAACACAAGGUUCGCCGAGCACAGGCUCCGGCCCCUUUGAUGGAGCUGAGGUGAGCAACGAAAGUAGAAUAAGAAGUCAUUUUGUGGUACACUUAAUAUAAUAUUAUAUAACGGAAAUUGUAUGUAUGUUUUCGAGUUUCCCCAACACAGCUCAGCAGUAAACCGUUUCCCGUAAUAAUAUCCGGGCGGACCUUGAGAUACGUUUACACGUGUCCUCAGAAAACCAUAAUUCCAGUCUUACAUUGUUAAAUAUAAUAAGACUGUCAAACAGCAGUAAUGGUGUUUGACAGUGUUGUUACUAUCAGAAAUGUGAUAUCCUCGUUUCUAACCAUGUGUUGGCACACAAACCAACCCAGCUUAGAAAUGGAACUCAAAUAAACCGGGACACUUUUGGCAUUCCCACUCCCAUGGGUUUCAAGCGAUGGCACUGUACGGCCGAGGUCAGAGCGAGCCGAGGGACGAGCUGCAGGCCGCUGCGCUCCGAGUGCCAGGUCGCUCGAUGAGUCAUGAGCAGAACCCGUUUUACAACCAUUCUCCCUUUCAUUUCCUGUCUGGAUGACCCAAACCUCUCUGGAGGGUAGCUUGUAAUAUAGCCCCGGCUUGGUUUGGACACCAUCUCCGCCCUUCGUUUGUAGACAGGAUGUUUAACCGGACCGCCGGGAGAGGUCACCUGGGGGGCUGGGGUUACUUUCCCCCCAGAUGGUGCAACAACAACAGUGCGUUUGACUUGGUGAAGAUAGUGAUAAACACUGCUCACCAUUACAGCAUAAUACUUAUCACUGAUCGAGCGUAAAUCCUCAUGAAAACAAACUUGGGGCGAUUUUCAUGGUUUCUCUGCGGACGAAGGAUUACAUGACCUCCUCUGUGGGUCAAGCUAAAUUCUCUGGCCCCUGUCCGCCUUAUAAAACAUUGAUCUGAUCCACUCGGGGAGCAAAAACAAGCAUUGAAAAAACUGAUGUUUAUCUCAGCUGUUGCGAAGCUCAUAUUUUGGAGAUUGCAAGGUUUUCGGCCAAAUGCGAGGUUGCGCAAAGUGCUUCGGUAACUUCCACGUCUUUUUUAGGUUUGACAGCAACAACGUGAUUGGCCAAUUGAGAUCGAUGUAGAAUCGCAUUGAGUUGUCUGAAACGCCGAUAGUGCGUUUGUGUGUGCGAGAGAGAAUUGUGAAUAUAUGGGUCCCGAUUAAACUCAAACAUUGCAGAACCAAAAAUAUUAUAAUAUAGUACAAGGCCGUAACAAAUAAGAUCAGACUAGUGAUCGACACCUGUUCUUAUUGUAAAUUUGUUCUGACCCUUCGCCUCAAAUCUUGACAAUGCCUCCCUCCUUCUUCCUCUUCACACUUUUUGAAGAUACGAGCUUGGAGUUCAUUUGCCUUUUUAACGUGCUUGUCACCUCCUGUGUCUUUAUGUCUCAGUGUCCUGUUUUCUAGUUGUAAACGACAAGCAUAUUUAGGGAUGUAAAAGCCCAACUAGAGGGCCGCAGGGUCUGACGCCCCUAAAUAUAUUGCUCUGUACAUUUGCGGCCACCACAGUGAAGGAGUUAUGCUUGAAAAGCCAACAAGUCGGGCACAGACGGAGACUUUAAAAGACGAGUGCUGCCAGGAGCUUCGUUUUAAUGUUUUAUUGGCACAGACUACCAAUUUUCAACAUACCUCUCUCCUCAAGCGCUCAUUAAAGCUAAAAUGACUCCAGUUAAAGGCUUAUACACCACCGUAUCGCAGCGGCUUCACGGUGAAAGCGCGGCUCCUGAAAGCCUUUCCUGUUUUUCCAUGGGACACGUCUCCAUGCACCGGCGAUGGGGCAGCUACACAGCUACUGUAUACUUACCUGGGAUAACGAUGACAGUAAUUAUCAGGUUUUUCCACCGUCAUACCUGUGCCGGCGGAAUCCCUGUCACACUGUACACACCUGCCCGAGCACAGGUAAGUACAACACCCUCCUGCGCUGCUGCAAUUCUUCAGCUCAAAUGAUAGAUGCUUCCACACCGUGAGCUGGAACUUUGGAAAUGGAUGACCAGUGGGUAGGGGAAUGGUUUGACUGGAACUGGGAGAACGAUGAUUUGGUCCGUCUCUACACUGUGUUUAACCUUUUCAGUGUAUGAAUCAAAUGGCCACAUUUUGGCAUGGCCAUUGGGGUUGGGCAGCAUUAUAAGUAUGAUUCGAGGAAUGGGUCCAUAUUUUGGGAGCUUAAGAGUUAAGAUGAUGGUGACACCUUUCUCACGUCUGAGAGCUAGUUGGUUAUUAGCUUAGCUUGGUAUAAGGAUUGGAACUGAUGGAACGAACAAGAUACAAUACGUUAUUUGGACCACGCUUACCUCUGUUCCCCUUAGCUUCUGUAACGUACUGCAGUCGCUUCUUCACCAUUGCUUUUGUCUGGUCUUUCUGGAUAAAAUGAAGCAUGUCCUUAGGGUUACUGUCCAUAUUCUGAAAUAAUUUGCAAUUAGCCUAAACAACAGUUACUUAAAAAGUUACCGUUGCCAUGGAAAUGAUGGAACUAAACAUCUUCAUAACUUGGUUUCAUCUUUUUCAUGGUGUUCGCCAAUAAUCCCUUCGAAUGUCAUCUUCCCAAAAACUUCUCCAUCAUUCGGUUUCAUUUAUUCGUGUUUCUACCAAUAUGGAAUUUCCAGUUUCACUUCUGCUUGCUGCUCAUGGAUGUAUUUUUGAUCUUUGGAAUGGAGCCAUGCUGGAGCGGUUUCCCCCUGCUUCCAGUCUUUAGGCUAUGCUAAAAUAAGCUAAGGUGCAGGAAAAAGCAUCUGACUUGAAAAAAACAUCUUUGCUAAAAUUUGAAACUAUACCUUUAUAAAACUUGUUUUCUAAGUGUGAUCACUCACAACAGCAUCAAACAGCCAGUGUGUCAAUUGUACCAGUUUUCAG